rnacentral:rRNA from 1 species
UACGUAGGGGGCAAGCGUUGUCCGGAAUUAUUGGGCGUAAAGAGCGCGUAGGCGGUCCGGUAAGUCGGUUGUGAAAGUCGGGGGCUCAACCCUCGGAUGCCGAUCGAUACUGUCGGGCUAGAGUCCGGAAGAGGCGAGUGGAAUUCCUGGUGUAGCGGUGAAAUGCGCAGAUAUCAGGAAGAGCACCCGUGGCUAAGGCGGCUCUCUAGUACGGUACUGACGCUGAGACGCGAAAGCGUGGGGAGCGAACAGG